rnacentral:rRNA from 1 species
UACGUAGGGUGCAAGCGUUGUCCGGAAUUAUUGGGCGUAAAGAGCUCGUAGGCGGUUUGUUGCGUCGGCUGUGAAAACCUGCAGCUUAACUGUGGGCGUGCGGUCGAUACGGGCAUCACUGGAGUUCGGCAGGGGAGACUGGAAUCCUGGUGUAGCGGUGGAAUGCGCAGAUAUCAGGAGGAACACCGGUGGCGAAGGCGG